UACGUAGGGGGCAAGCGUUGUCCGGAUUUAUUGGGCGUAAAGAGCGUGUAGGCGGCCUGGUAGGUCAGCUGUGAAAACUCGAGGCUCAACCUCGAGACGCCGGUUGAAACCAUCAGGCUAGAGUCCGGAAGAGGAGAGUGGAAUUCCAGGUGUAGCGGUGAAAUGCGCAGAUAUCUGGAAGAACACCCGUGGCUAAGGCGGCUCUCUAGGCCGACACUGACGCUGAGGAGCGAAAGCGUGGGGAGCGAACAGG
rnacentral:rRNA from 1 species